rnacentral:rRNA from 1 species
GUUUGAUCAUGGCUCAGAACGAACGCUGGCGGCAGGCUUAACACAUGCAAGUCGAGCGCCCCGCAAGGGGAGCGGCAGACGGGUGAGUAACGCGUGGGAAUCUACCCUUGACUACGGAAUAACGCAGGGAAACUUGUGCUAAUACCGUAUGUGUCCUUCGGGAGAAAGAUUUAUCGGUCAAGGAUGAGCCCGCGUUGGAUUAGCUAGUUGGUGGGGUAAAGGCCUACCAAGGCGACGAUCCAUAGCUGGUCUGAGAGGAUGAUCAGCCACAUUGGGACUGAGACACGGCCCAAACUCCUACGGGAGGCAGCAGUGGGGAAUAUUGGACAAUGGGCGCAAGCCUGAUCCAGCCAUGCCGCGUGAGUGAUGAAGGCCCUAGGGUUGUAAAGCUCUUUCACCGGAGAAGAUAAUGACGGUAUCCGGAGAAGAAGCCCCGGCUAACUUCGUGCCAGCAGCCGCGGUAAUACGAAGGGGGCUAGCGUUGUUCGGAAUUACUGGGCCUAAAGCGCCCGUAGGCCGAUCGAUCAGUC